GGUGUUUGGCCAUCUGGUGCAUGUUAAAGGAAUCAAAGGUCAUGACUAGAUGUACACUCAUCU
rnacentral:pre_miRNA from 1 species